rnacentral:sRNA from 1 species
UUUCGUAAGAUGUGUCCCAACAGCAUAUCACAGCCCUGCCAUGACUUGGUGAUCUGUCCUCCUGCUGAUUUCACGCCUCGCAUUUCUAAGUCCUUUGUCAAAGAGCCUUCUCACCCUUAUCCAGUAGCAUUCUAGCGUUAACAACCGGGUCUACAGAGACGGUAACUACCACCUGCAAAGCUGCUUUCAAAGUUUCACCAAUGCAAAUCUAGAGGGAGGAAGAGCACAAAGUUCAGCACGACCUCAAACUCCUCCCCUCUGCCAGGUUCUCCUAAAACAACACAUUAAAAACAAGAGAGCAAUGUGUCCACGAUGCUUUGUUUUUAUUACAGCAUUCUGAAUCUACAUGCACACAAUUUUUGCACACAAAGGAGGGAAGAAGA